GUCUUAAUAUCUAUUUAGUAUUUAACAUCUUUGGUUGUUUAAAAAGGAAAAUAGUAAAUAUAUUUUAAUAUUUAUCAUGGUCCAUGGUAGACUUAUAUUUGGAAAAUAUUUAAAAUGCUAAUGAUUAGUGUAACACCCCGUUUUUUAAAGCGAGGGUGUAUUUUUUUUUCAAAAGAAAUUAAACUAAAACAGAGAAAUAAAUAAGGAAAUGCCUUUGGAUAAAUAAUUGAAUCAUUAUCAUUUACAAGCAGCGGAAAAGUUUCUCCAAAUAUAAAUCUAAAGCAUUUACACAACAACAAAUGGUACAUGGAACCCAUUAAAAUAAGAUGUCAAACUGACAAUAUUAGUAUAAGUACAGUUUUCCAAAUUAAAAUACUCCAACCCAAAAAGAAGGACGUCUAGUCCCUAUACAUCAACCUAAUCUGAUCAUCCUACCAAAAACCUAUACACCCUGAGUGAUCUCCACGCGCCCGUGAGGUCCUCCUAACGUAGCUCCAGUCAAGCAUUCCCAUCCGUAGGGUAUAAAAUAGUAGGGUCGUCCUGACUCUCAUCUGAGGGCAAAACCCAGAUUGCCACAAUAGUUGUAAAGGGUCACCAACCGAAAUUAACAGAUAACACAUAACAUUU
rnacentral:lncRNA from 1 species